GAUGAAGAACGCAGCGAAAUGCGAUAAGUAAUGUGAAUUGCAGAAUUCAGUGAAUCAUCGAGUCUUUGAACGCACAUUGCGCCUCCUGGUAUUCCGGGGGGCAUGCCUGUCCGAGCGUCAUUGCUGCCCUCAAGCACGGCUUGUGUGUUGGGCCCCCGUCCCCGGUUUCCCCCGGGGACGGGCCCGAAAGGCAGCGGCGGCACCGCGUCCGGUCCUCGAGCGUAUGGGGCUUUGUCACCCGCUCUGUAGGCCCGGCCGGCGCCAGCCGACACCCAACUUUAUUUCUAAGGUUGACCUCGGAUCAGGUAGGGAUACCCGCUGAACUUAAGCAUAUCAAUAAGCGGAGGA
rnacentral:misc_RNA from 1 species